rnacentral:rRNA from 1 species
GAGCAGGUCAAGUUAAAAGUCGAUUUGGUUUAAAAGAAGGUUAUAGGUUUAGACGCGAAGAAGGGAAGAAGUUAAAUAAUAGGGUUAAAUCUGUUUUUAUAUUUAUUGAAUAUUUAUUGUCUUUCUUCAGCUUGAUACCUUGAAAUUGUGGGUAAAAACUCGGAUUAGAUACCCGGUUAUUCCAUGGCGUAAAAUUUGAUUAAUUAAUCUACCAGAGUAGUAUGGACAAUGGCCAUUACGGCUAGUUCGUUUGAAACUUAAAAGACUUGGCGGUGCUUUAUUCUAUUCAGGGGAACCUGUCCCAUAAUUGAUAGCCCACGUUUCAGCUUGCCUUAUUUUGUGUGUUCUGUAUAAUAUCCACGUUCAGUUAGUAUAUCGUCGUUGUCAGGUGACUCUUAAGGAAAUAUAAGAAGCCGGGGUAAAAUAGUUAUUUAACUUAUUUUAAGAUUUCAGAUCGAGGUGCAGCUGAUAAUAAGGUGGUGAUGGGUUACCAUAAAUAUUUAUUUUGGAUUAUGGUUUGUAAAUAAUUGUAUGAAAUUGGACUUGGUAGUAAUUUAGUGAAUUAGAAUAUCUGAAUGAAUAACGCUCUAAGGCGCGCACAAAUCGCCCGUCGCUCU